AAAGAGCUCGUAGUGGUUUGUCGCGUCGUCUGUGAAAUUCCGGGGCUUAACUUCGGGCGUGCAGGCGAUACGGGCAUAACUUGAGUGCUGUAGGGAGACUGGAAUUCCUGGUGUACGGUGAAAUGCGCAGAUAUCAGGAGGAACACCGAUGGCGAAGGCAGGUCUCUGGGCAGUUACUGACGCUGAGGAGCGAAAGCAUGGGUAGCAAACAGGAUUAGAUACCCUGGUAGUCCAUGCCGUAAACGGUGGGCGCUAGGUGUAGGGGGCUUCCACGUCUUCUGUGCCGUAGCUAACGCAUUAAGCGCCCCGCCUGGGGAGUACGGCCGCAAGGCUAAAACUCAAAGGAAUUGACGGGGGCCCGCACAAGCGGCGGAGCAUGUGGAUUAAUUCGAUGCAACGCGAAGAACCUUACCUGGGCUUGACAUACACCAGAUUGCUGCAGAGAUGUAGUGUCCCUUGUGGUUGGUGUACAGGUGGUGCAUGGUUGUCGUCAGCUCGUGUCGUGAGAUGUUGGGUUAAGUCCCGCAACGAGCGCAACCCUUGUCUUAUGUUGCCAGCAUUUGGUUGGGGACUCAUGAGAGACUGCCGGGGUUAACUCGGAGGAAGGUGGGGAUGACGUCAAAUCAUCAUGCCCCUUAUGUCCAGGGCUUCACACAUGCUACAAAUGGUCGGUACAACGCGCAGCGACACUGUGAGGUGGAGCGAAUCGCUGAAAGCCGGUCUUAGUUCGGAUUGGGGUCUGCAACUCGACCCCAUGAAGUCGGAGUCGCUAGUAAUCGCAGAUUCAGCAACGCUGCGGUGAAUACG
rnacentral:rRNA from 1 species